rnacentral:tRNA from 1 species
UAGGGAAGAAGCUAGAUCAUAGCAAUUAGUUGUUACCUAAUAGAAAGUGAACAUUUUCACCUACCCUAU